GAGACUCUGUGCGCGUGCAUAUCAAUAAGCGGAGGAAAAGAAACUAACGAGGAUUCCCUUAGUAACGGCGAGUGAAGCGGGAAGAGCUCAAAUUUGAAAUCUUCAAGGUUCUACCUUGACGAAUUGUAGUUUAUAAGAAGUGUUUUUCUGUUAGAGAGGUGGUAAAAGUUCUUUGGAAUAGGACAUCAUAGAGGGUGAGAAUCCCGUAUUUGAUCACUUUCUACUAACGUUGUGAUACACUUUCAAAGAGUCGGAUUGUUUUGGGAAUGCAGUCCAAAAUGGGUGGUAAGUUUUCAUCUAAAGCUAAAUAUUGGCGAGAGACCGAUAGCGAACAAGUACCGUGAGGGAAAGAUGAAAAGAACUUUGAAAAGAGAGUUAAAACAGUUCGUGAAAUUGUCAAAAGGGAAGCGUUUGACACCAGUGUUGUUUAGUUGAAAAUCAAUUCAAUAAUUUUUUGAUUUUGAGUAGUAUUGACUUCAUCAGCUUGCUGCUUUCUUUUCAGGAAUUAUUGAAUGCACUUUUCAGUUAACAAGUCAACAUCAAUUUCUUUUGUUGUAAAAGGGUAAGAGGAAGAUGGCUUGCGCUUCGGCUCAAGUGUUUAUAGCCUUUUAUCUCUGCAAUCGGAGAGAUUGAGGUCUGCAGCGUAGAUCCUUCGGGGUUAGAUACAUUGGUGCUAAGCUAUAGCCUUGUGUAGACAACUUGUUGACUAUGCUCAGUCAUGUAGCUUACUCGCUGAUGCUAUUUUACCUACGCUUAGGAUGUUGAAGAUGUAGCACAUCAU
rnacentral:rRNA from 1 species